rnacentral:rRNA from 1 species
CGAACGGGUGAGUAACACGUGGGCAACCUUUCCUAUCGCGGGGGAUAACACCGGGAAACCGAUGCUAAUACCGCAUGUCGUCACUGGUCGCGUGGCUGGUGAAGAAAGCAGCAAUGCACGAUGGGGUGGGCCCGCGGCCUAUCAGCUAGUCGGUGGGGUAACGGCCUACCGAGGCGAUGACGGGUAGCUGGUCUGAGAGGACGGCCAGCCACACGGGGACUGAGACACGGCCCCG